CAGCAGCAGGACGGCGCCUCCCUCUGACCGAAGGCUGUUAGGACAGCGAGAAACCUGACAACUGAGAUUAAACAUGGACUCCAUGAUGCUAACAUGAGCAAGCUGAAAAUCAGUGCUAGUUGUGAUUUGUGUAAACUGGCAGAGAGCGAAGCAUUACGGAAAGUCGCCACCGUUUCUGUUGUUCACUGCUUUCAUCUUUUGUUCCAUGGAAUCCUGGACAGAAACACUGGCAGGUGCCGGUUUGUUGGAUUUCCAGCUGGGAAGCCGAUCACUGGGAUACCACGCUCCAAAGUUCAGACCGUGAACGCGUCACAGUGUCGACACAGCAGAACGCAGCCAUCAUCUUAGUCAGCAGGAAUCCCAUGUUCAGCAAGUUUAGAGGUGAGUGAGGAAUAAAGUGUAAAUCUAGUGAGCGCAGAGACAAACGUCGUGUUUAUUCACAGGUGACUGUCAGCCGGAGUCUCAGUAUUUACGCUGGUAUCAGAUUCUACUAGAGAAGCGGGCGGAGCUAACACGAGGUUGGUGGUAUUUUUUGUACGAAUGAACUACAGUGAAAGGGCAAGAAAAUGAUGCGUUCAAGCUGUGGGACAUAUCUCACGUACACAGCACAAGGACCUACAGAAAGCGUCGUUUUCUGUGAAGCGGUCUCAUUACGAGACGUCAUCGUUUUACGACAAAAACAAAAUCGCCCUUCAGCUUAGUUGAGUCAAAGUUAACACUAAAUCGCUCUGCAGUCGUACACGCCAAAAUAGAGGCCAAAAGUCCGAGCGCAGCCACAAGCGUUUGAACGCACCAUCUCGCAGGCUUACUCUCAGUCACGCCGACGACACGAGCGGAGGAAUGACGACGAAUGACGCGCCCGCGUCCGGUCCUUAUAUGGAAAAGGGAAGCGAAAGCGUCUUGUUUCCCCUCUGUGUUUUUACCAGUUGAUUACUUCUCUCAACAGAAAGGAAAACUCAUUAUACAAGGAUUCCCCUAAACCUCCAUAAUAUUUCCAGGUACCUUUUACGAAAAUAAAAGUAAACAAAUCAUUAUCAUCAUUAUGAUCAACAUCAUAGCAAAAUUCCGAAUACUUAGCCGCAUGUUUCCAGUGUUUGAUAAUUAGGUUUUACUAUUAGGUUUUAUAGGUAAUUUUAAGAUUCUACAACACAAAUGCUAAGAUUAAACCAUCUACACAGCUGAUGAGGCCAUAUACUAUACAUCAUGUAUAAAUAUUUUAAAUUGUUAUGUUGUCAGGUUUUGAACUGCUGCGUAGUUGAGCACUGGUUAAGUUAAUCUUCUGCAGUUUGCUCGACUGUUUAUUUGCACUCCAGUGAAACGCUGCAGCUCAUUUUGUGCCGUUAAUUUCAACUCUGGGGUUUUGCCACCACAGCCGCCACCUCGUGAAACAACUGAUGUAAGGCUCACGUUUGAGAUUCAGACUGAAACCACAUCCUUAUUUGUGACACUUUCUGCAGCUGUUGACAUCACAAGAUGAACCCAAACCCAACCCACAUCCUGUGUUGAUCUGAUCUUUACCUCCACUUGUUUUUCUGCCAUGUCAGUUACUUGACUCAGCCAAGUGAAGUGUAGCUAGACGAGUGUAACUGUUAUUGCGACAGAUGUGAAUGAGCGUUAUUUCUGUACAUCCUGUUCUUGAACUGGUCUUUUUGUUGCAUUAACCCCAGUGUGAUUACACAGAAAUCUUAUGUAACAAUAAAAAGUUAAUAAAACAAUUCACCAAUGCUAAGAUGUCUUUGUUCUGAGACACACAACUGGCAACACUGUUAAUAUGUUCAAAUGUACACUUGGACAUUAAGGUUUAAUUCACAGACACAACAUAGUUUGUUUCUGGUUAAAUUUUUAAUUAAAAUACGAAUUUAUCCACAGAUUAAAAAUGAAAGGCAGAAAAAGCAAAAUGUAGCUACAAUCAGGCACCAAUGAUACGUUUUAUCAUUUUUUAACAAUUGCGAUAAUGCAACAAUAACAUUAUUUACUGAUCGUUAUUUAAUAUUUAUUAUUCAACUGAAGACAGGGGUCGGCCAAAGCUGCCCACCACAGACAUUCAUGGAUUCUCCAUUAUAGAUAACUGAGUCGAAGCUGAUCCUGUCCCUCCCCGCCCCAUUUAACGCUCCUCGUACCUAAACUGAACAUUUAUAAAAAUCGAAAAUGUUCACAGGAAAAAAAAAACAA